rnacentral:lncRNA from 1 species
AGCCUUUUGUGCGCCGCGCGGUGGGGCGGUGCCCAGCUUGGGGGAAGGAGAGCGGCGCUUAUCGAAGUGUGGUCGACCUCCAUCCGCCCACCGAGCACUUGGGACCCGCUGCACAUAUCCAGAGCAGGGAAAGCUGUGGCUUUCUCGGGGGAGCGAGUGUCUAGGGGAAGGGUGUGGCAGGCCCACGGGAUGCCAUGCCCUAGAACAACGGCCUGAGCGCUUGUGGAAUUAAAAUGGGAGAUGUGGGGCCGAGAAGAGGAGGAGGAUUUCGGUGAGGAGGCCGAAGAGGAGGCCUAAGGCAGAGCCCCCAUCACCUCAGGCUUCUCAGUUCCCUUAGCCGUCUUACUCAACUGCCCCUUUCCUCUCCCUCAGAAUUUGUGUUUGCUGCCUCUAUCUUGUUUUUUGUUUUUUCUUCUGGGGGGGGGUCUAGAACAGUGCCUGGCACAUAGUAGGCGCUCAAUAAAUACUUGUUUGUUGAAUGUCUCCUCUCUCUUUCCACUCUGGGAAACCUAGGUUUCUGCCAUUCUGGGUGACCCUGUAUUUCUUUCUGGUGCCCAUUCCAUUUGUCCAGUUAAUACUUCCUCUUAAAAAUCUCCAAGAAGCUGGGUCUCCAGAUCCCAUUUAGAACCAACCAGGUGCUGAAAACACAUGUAGAUAAUGGCCAUCAUCCUAAGCCCAAAGUAGAAAAUGGUAGAAGGUAGUGGGUAGAAGUCACUAUAUAAGGAAGGGGAUGGGAUUUUCCAUUCUAAAAGUUUUGGAGAGGGAAAUCCAGGCUAUUAAAGUCACUAAAUUUCUAAGUAUGUCCAUUUCCCAUCUCAGCUUCAAGGGAGGUGUCAGCAGUAUUAUCUCCACUUUCAAUCUCCCUCCAAGCUCUACUCUGGAGGAGUCUGUCCCACUCUGUCAAGUGGAAUCCUUCCCUUUCCAACUCUACCUCCCUCACUCAGCUCCUUUCCCCUGAUCAGAGAAAGGGAUCAAGGGGGUUGGGAGGGGGGAAAGAGACCAGCCUUGGUCCCUAAGCCUCCAGAAACGUCUUCUUAAUCCCCACCUUUUCUUACUCCCAAAAAAGAAUGAACACCCCUGACUCUGGAGUGGUGUAUACUGCCACAUCAGUGUUUGAGUCAGUCCCCAGAGGAGAGGGGAACCCUCCUCCAUCUUUUUUGCAACAUCUCAUUUCUUCCUUUUGCUGUUGCUUCCCCCCUCACACACUUGGUUUUGUUCUAUCCUACAUUUGAGAUUUCUAUUUUAUGUUGAACUUGCUGCUUUUUUUCAUAUUGAAAAGAUGACAUCGCCCCAAGAGCCAAAAAUAAAUGGGAAUUG